GAUGAACGCUGGCGGCGUGCCUAACACAUGCAAGUCGAGCGGAUAGAGGGAGCUUUCGCCUGGAUUCAGCGGGGGGCGGGUGAGUGAUGCAUAUGAAUAUGCCUGGCAUUGGGGGGUGACAUCCGCAAGAGAGCGCGGAUACCACAUGCGACCAGAUGUUGAAGCUGGGGGGUCGUUGGACAUCACGCGCUCAGCUGAGCCUAGGUGGGAUUAGCUAGUUGGUGGGGUAAGGGCCUACCAAGGCGACUAUCCGUAGCUGAUCUGAGAGGAUGAUCGGCCACACUGGAACUGAGACACGGUCCAGACUCCUACGGGAGGCAGCAGUGGGGAAUAUUGGACAAUGGGCGAAAGCCUGACCCAGCCAUGCCGCGUGUGUGAAGAAGGUCUUCGGAUUGUAAAGCACUUUUACUGGGGAGGAACGGCUGUAAGUUAAUACGUUGCUGUUUUGACGGUACCAACAGAAUAAGCACCGGCUAACUACGUG
rnacentral:rRNA from 1 species